AACUAACGCUGGCGGCGUGCCUAACACAUGCAAGUCGUACGAGAAAGCCGGCUUCGGCUGGUGAGUAAAGUGGCGCACGGGUGAGUAACGCGUGGAUAAUCUGCCCUUAAGUGUGGAAUAACGUACCGAAAGGUGCGCUAAUACCGCAUAAUGCCUGGCAACACAAGUUGUCCGGCCAAAGAAGGCCUCUGUUUACAAGCUUUCGCUUCAGGAUGAGUCCGCGUACCAUUAGCUUGUUGGUGGGGUAAUGGCCUACCAAGGCUGCGAUGGUUAGCUGGUCUGAGAGGAUGAUCAGCCACACUGGAACUGAGACACGGUCCAGACUCCUACGGGAGGCAGCAGUGAGGAAUAUUGCGCUAUGGGCGAAAGCCUGACGCAGCGACACCGCGUGAAGGAUGAAGGCCUUCGGGUUGUAAACUUCUGUUAAAUAGCACCGGCUAACUACGUGCCAGCAGCCGCGGUAAGCACGAGAGUA
rnacentral:rRNA from 1 species